GUGGGGAAUAUUGCACAAUGGGCGAAAGCCUGAUGCAGCAACGCCGCGUGAGGGACGACGGCCUUCGGGUUGUAAACCUCUUUUAGUAGGGAAGAAGCGAAAGUGACGGUACCUGCAGAAAAAGCACCGGCUAACUACGUGCCAGCAGCCGCGGUAAUACGUAGGGUGUAAGCGUUAUCCGGAAUUAUUGGGCGUAAAGAGCUCGUAGGCGGUCUGUCGCGUCUGCUGUGAAAACUGGAGGCUCAACCUCCAGCCUGCAGUGGGUACGGGCAGACUAGAGUGCGGUAGGGGAGAUUGGAAUUCCUGGUGUAGCGGUGGAAUGCGCAGAUAUCAGGAGGAACACCGAUGGCGAAGGCAGAUCUCUGGGCCGUAACUGACGCUGAGGAGCGAAAGCGUGGGGAGCGAACAGGAUUAGAAACCCCGGUAGUCC
rnacentral:rRNA from 1 species